rnacentral:lncRNA from 1 species
CCGAAUUUCAGGAAGCUUCUGCUGAAUCAGUUGAAGAGGCUCGUCACCGCCGAAAAGCUCGUGAAAGUGAAGGCCUCGUUCAAGCUACCUUCCGCUCGCUCCUCCUCAACCGCUGUCUCCGCCUAUCCGGCCUCUAAGAAGUCCGCUGUCGAGAAUCCGAAAGCGACGAAGUUGAAAGCCGCCGCCGCCGCCGCUACUACUAAGCCGAAGGCCAAACCGGCUGCUGGCGCCGCUACCAAGCCGAAGGCUAAAUCGGCUAAGCCAACAACUGCAGCGGCUAAGCCGGCUGCCAACGCACAUCCGAAGAGGAAGGC